AGAGUUUGAUCCUGGCUCAGAACGUACGCUGGCGGCACGCCUAACACAUGCAAGUCGAACGAAGUAGCAAUACUUAGUGGCAGACGGGUGAGUAACAUGUAGGUAUCUGCCCUUUGGCCUGGAAUAACACGAGGAAACUUGUGCUAAUACCGGAUAAGUCUUUACGGAGAAAGCUUUAUGCACCAUUGGAUGAGCCUGCACUUGAUUAGUUUGUUGGUGGGGUAAUGGCCUACCAAGACUGUGAUCAAUAGCUGAUUUGAGAGGAUGAUCAGCCACAUUGGGACUGAGACACGGCCCAAACUCCUACGGGAGGCAGCAGUGGGGAAUCUUGCACAAUGGAGGAAACUCUGAUGCAGCGAUGCCGCGUGAGUGAAGAAGGCCUUUGGGUUGUAAAGCUCUUUCGUCGGGGAAGAAAAUGACUGUACCCGAAUAAGAAGGUCCGGCUAACUUCGUGCCAGCAGCCGCGGUAAUACGAAGGGACCUAGCGUAGUUCGGAAUUACUGGGCUUAAAGAGUUCGUAGGUGGUUGAAAAAGUUAGUGGUGAAAUCCCAGAGCUUAACUCUGGAACUGCCAUUAAAACUUUUCAGCUAGAGUAUGAUAGAGGAAAGCAGAAUUUCUAGUGUAGAGGUGAAAUUCGUAGAUAUUAGAAAGAAUACCAAUUGCGAAGGCAGCUUUCUGGAUCAUUACUGACACUGAGGAACGAAAGCAUGGGUAGCGAAGAGGAUUAGAUACCCUCGUAGUCCAUGCCGUAAACGAUGUGUGUUAGACGUUGGAAAUUUAUUUUCAGUGUCGCAGCGAAAGCGAUAAACACACCGCCUGGGGAGUACGACCGCAAGGUUAAAACUCAAAUGAAUUGACGGGGACCCGCACAAGUAGUGGAGCAUGUGGUUUAAUUCGAAGAUACGCGCAGAACCUUACCAACACUUGACAUGUUCGUCGCGACUCUAAGAGAUUAGAGUUUUCGGUUCGGCCGGACGAAACACAGGUGCUGCAUGGCUGUCGUCAGCUCGUGUCGUGAGAUGUUGGGUUAAGUCCCGCAACGAGCGCAACCCUCACUUUUAGUUGCCAUCAUUAAGUUGGGCACUCUGAAAGAACUGCCAGUGAUAAGCUGGAGGAAGGUGGGGAUGACGUCAAGUCCUCAUGGCCCUUACGUGUUGGGCUACACACGUGCUACAAUGGUAUCUACAACAGGAAGCAAGACUGCGAAGUUAAGCAAAUCCCUAAAAGAUACCUCAGUUCGGAUUGCACUCUGCAACUCGAGUGCAUGAAGCUGGAAUUACUAGUAAUCGUGGAUCAGCGUGCCACGGUGAAUGCGUUCCCGGGUCUUGUACACACCGCCCGUCACACCAUGGGAGUUGGUUCUACCCGAAGACGGUAUCCUAACCUUUUAGGAGGGAGCCGGCCACGGUAGGGUCAGCGACUGGGGUGAAGUCGUAACAAGGUAACC
rnacentral:rRNA from 2 species